rnacentral:tRNA from 1 species
CACGCAUAGCUCAAUGGCAGAGCAGUGUAUUCACCGACGCGGGUUCGAAUCCCGCUGCGUGCA